GAUCAUGGCUCAGAAUCAACGCUGGCGGCGUGCCUCAGACAUGCAAGUCGAACGAUUAAAGCUCUCUUCGGAGAGUGUAUAGAGUGGCGCACGGGUGACGUAACACGUAAGUAAAUCUACCCUCGAGUGGGGAAUAACAACCGGAAACGGUUGCUAACACCGCAUAAUGCAGCGGCACCGCAAGGUGACAGUUGUUAAAGAUUUAUCGCUUGAGGAGGAGCUUGUGGCAGAUUAGCUAGUUGGUAGGGUAACGGCUUACCAAGGCUACGAUCUGUAACCGGUCUAAGAGGACGGUCGGUCACACUGACACUGAAUAACGGGUCAGACUCCUACGGGAGGCAGCAGUCGGGAAUUUUGGGCAAUGGGCGAAAGCCUGACCCAGCAACGCCGCGUGAAGGAUGAAGUAUUUCGGUAUGUAAACUUCGAAAGAAUAGGAAGAAUUAAUGACGGUACUAUUUAUAAGGUCCGGCUAACUACGUG
rnacentral:rRNA from 1 species